CAAAGAUUGGUGAUUCCCGACCACCUCUAGUGA
rnacentral:tRNA from 1 species